rnacentral:rRNA from 1 species
UGCGCAGGCGGUUAUGUAAGACAGAUGUGAAAUGCCCGGGCUUAACCUGGGAACUGCAUUUGUGACUGCAUGGCUAGAGUGUGUCAGAGGGGGGUAGAAUUCCACGUGUAGCAGUGAAAUGCGUAGAGAUGUGGAGGAAUACCGAUGGCGAAGGCAGCCCCCUGGGAUAACACUGACGCUCAUGCACGAAAGCGUGGGGAGCAAACAGGAUUAGAUACCCUGGUAGUCCACGCCCUAAACGAUGUCUACUAGUUGUCGGGUCUUAAUUGACUUGGUAACGCAGCUAACGCGUGAAGUAGACCGCCUGGGGAGUACGGUCGCAAGAUUAAA